GCACCCGUAGCUCAAUUGGAUAGAGCACCAGACUACGAAUCUGGGGGCUAGGGGUUCGAGUCCCUUCGGGUGCGCCA
rnacentral:tRNA from 1 species